rnacentral:lncRNA from 1 species
GCUCCUGUGAACUAUAUAGAAUGCACUAAUCUCCACGGGCAUUUUACUUCUCCGUUUUGCCUGUGCUGACUAACUCCAUGGAACAAUUUGCAAGUGAUACCAAAGGUAUGAAUUAGUUGUGUAGAAGAAACUAGAGUCCAGAUGUUAACCCUCAGUUUUAUGUACACCAUAGUUCUCCAUACAAGGAAGAUAAUAUAAGGAACCUUGAAGAAAUAUCCUCACAAGUGAGCUUCCCGUGGGCCUGCUGGUGCUUCUGCAGACAUCCCUCCCUUCAAACUUGAGUGCCCAGACAGGACUGAGCAGGUGUGAACAAGAAAGACUGCUCAAGUGCAGAUCUCAAGUUACCCUGUGCCCUGGAUGAGGAGAUGGGUGGAGGAAAGUGAUAAGAACAUCUGAACAGUGUGGCUCCCUAAAUGUCACUGGGCUUUAUGUGAUUAAGUUUCCCCCACACUCUGGAAACUUCAGGGAUUGACAGGCAAUGACUGCAGCGUGCACCCUGCAAUUUAAACACAACACAACAGAAAGGAGGAUUCCAAAGCAGACAAAAUGCCAAAGAAAAUUGCCCUGUGAGAAGGCACUCUCUAUAUCCUUAGAGUCAGCAUGAAAACAAAAGUGCCCAUUUCUUUUUCAUGCCACCCAGCUCUGCCUUACUUGUCAUCUACAAUGCAGAAAUGUGGAAAAAAAAAAAAAAAAACGAAGCUAUUUUCUGGGGAUUCAGAGAAUUCCCUACCUACCUAAUGACUGCCCUCUAAAACAUUCAAUUGUAAGACUUGAACAGUAGAGAAAAAUGUUUUUCUAAGGGGAAUCUGUCUUCUGAUUAUAGAUACAGACAGUCCCUCAUUCCAUUUCUUUGUGGCUGCUCUCUAUGGGUUUACAUUAGCCAGGUCUUCGAUUCAUAGUUAGUUCAUCACAGCUGAUUGUCCCUGUUCUGUUCAGAUAACUUAGAUAAACAGAAUGCACUGCUUAAGUGCACAUGUGAUUGGACAUAAGCAAAAGGAAACUUUUAAAAAACUGUAAGUCAAAUUCAAGUUUUGUAAAUGUAUUUUAAGAGAGUGUUGAAUGAAAGGUCGACAAAAAGUUUAUAAAGAUUAUUUUAGGGUGACAAGAUUAUUGGUUAUAUGUGGUUAUUUUUCCUUUUCUUAUAUGUUUCUGUAUUUUCUGCAGUAAGCACAUCUUUGUCAUUUUUAAUGUAAUAAAUUUUUUAAAGAACAAUGUUAUUUUUGGUCUGAUGUUAAGUACAUGCCUAUGAAAACUCAACUGAAUUAUUGUUACUGUUCUAUUUCCUUAUAAUCUUCGUCAAUCCCCAACUGGCUCACAUUUUUCUGGCUAUUGGGGUCUCUAUUGUGGAUUCUUAACUUCCUACAUCUUUUUCCACUUGAUAUCUUUGAUAAAUACAGGCGAUUUUUAAGAAGAUGUUGGGGUCAGUAGCAUAAUCUGUUGAUUUAAAACAGUGAUUAGGCAAUGGAAUGAAGUCCAAUGAGAGAUAUGUUCAUUCAGAAUUUUCCUUUACAUGAAUUUUUUAUUGCAGUAUAAUAUACUUACAGAAGAGUACAAAUAAAUGUACAGCUAAAUCACAAAGUGAACUCACCUAUGUAAUUGACACUUGAGUUGUGAAAUAGACCAUGUCCAAUACCCAAAGGCCUUCGACAUGCCUGCUCCAAUUCCCAGCUCCUGCCUCCUCCCCAAAAUUAACCACUAUCCUAAUCUCUAACGCCACAGGCCAGGAUUGCGUAUUUCUAAACUUUAUAUAAAUUAAUCAGUAUCUAUUUUUGUGUGUCUAGCUUAUUUCAUGCAACAUAAUGUUUGUCAAGUUCGUCUGUGUUGUAACAGUAGUUCCUUUUUCAUUUUCAUUGUUUUAUAAUGUCUCUUUGUACACCUACAGCACAGUUUAUUCUACUGUUGGUGGAUAUCUGGAUUGUCUCCAAUUUGGAGCUGUUAUAAAUCAUGCCACUAUGAACAUUUUAUAUGAUUUUUAGAGGACCAUAUGUAUGCUUCUGUUGCCAACUUCUGUUGCCCAAUUUAUACCUGGGUGUGAAUUAUUGGGUCAUAGGGGCAUGUGAAUGUUCAGUCCACGUAGACAUUGCCAAACAGUAUUUUAAAGCAUUGUACCAAUUCAUACUCUCACCAGUUCUAUAAGAAAGUUCCAGUUGCUCUACCUCUUACCAACUGUUGAUAUUUCCAACUUUUUAAUGUUCGCCAUUUUAUCAGGUAUGUAGUAUAUGGUUGUGAUUUAAAUUUGCAUUUCUAUGUUGAAUUAUAAUGGGAUUGUUAACCUUUUCAUAUGUUUCUUGGCUAUUUUGGUGAUCCUCUUUUAUGAACAGUGCCUGUUCAAGUA